GUUCCCAGAAAUGGUUUCCUCCUUCCAGUGGGCCUGAAGACAGGUGCUGCAUGGCUGUCGUCAGCUCGUGUCGUGAGAUGUUGGGUUAAGUCCCGCAACGAGCGCCACCCUCGCCAUUUGUUGCCAUCAUUUAGUUGGGCACUCUAGUGGGACUGCCGGUGAAAAGCCGGAGGAAGGGGGGGAUGACGUCAAGUCAUCAUGGCCCUUACGGGCUGGGCUACACACGUGCUACAAUGGCGGUGACAAUGGGGAGCAACUCAGCGAGGGGAAGAUAAUCUCAAAAAACCGUCCCAGUUCGAAUUGGGCUCUGCAACUCGAGCCCAUGAAGUUGGAAUCGUUAGUAAUCCCGCAUCAGCAUGGCCCGGUGAAUACCUUCCCGGGUCUUGUACACACCG
rnacentral:rRNA from 1 species